rnacentral:lncRNA from 1 species
AACAGAGACCUGCUGCUAGUUCUGAAGACAGAGGUGUCUGUUCCAGAAUAGUGAAGCAACUCUGGACCUAGGCCAGCUACUGACCCGCGGGGGACCGGCUCCCAGCUGCAGCAGCCUCCUCCCUCCCACUGUUUGGUUAAGCAUGGAGGAAGUGGAAUUGAAUACCUCACCUAAUAGAACAACUCUGCAUUGUACCCCAACAUUAUACAGAGGAAUAUAGAAGUGUGAGACUGGGUCUUAGAAACGCAAGGUAGGUAACUGGGAAAAAAUCCAGUUUCAUUUAUUUUUCAUACAGAUAACGGUUUUUCUAGCUCCAUUUGCCAAGUGGUCUCUUCCGUCACAGAUGA